UACGUAGGGUGCGAGCGUUAAUCGGAAUUACUGGGCGUAAAGGGCGUGCAGGUGGUCUGUUAAGUCUGGCGUGAAAGCUCCUGGCUAAACCGGGAGAGGUCGUUGGAUACUGGCGGACUAGAGGACGGUAGAGGCGUGUGGAAUUCCGGGUGUAGUGGUGAAAUGCGUAGAGAUCCGGAGGAACCCCAGAGGCGAAGGCGGCGUCCUGGCUCGCAUCUGACGCUCAGACACGACAGCAUGGGGAGCGAACGGG
rnacentral:rRNA from 1 species